GAUGAACGCUAGCUACAGGCUUAACACAUGCAAGUCGCGGGGCAGCAUGGGGGUUGCUUGCAAUCCCCGAUGGCGACCGGCGCACGGGUGAGUACGCGUAUCCAACCUGCCCUUCACCACGGGAUAACCCGGCGAAAGUCGGACUAAUACCGUAUGUUGUCCAUUGACGGCAUCCGAUUUGGACGAAAGGUUUGGCGGUGAAGGAUGGGGAUGCGUCCGAUUAGCUGGACGGCGGGGUGACGGCCCACCGUGGCGACGAUCGGUAGGGGUUCUGAGAGGAAGGUCCCCCACACUGGAACUGAGACACGGUCCAGACUCCUACGGGAGGCAGCAGUGAGGAAUAUUGGUCAAUGGGCGUAAGCCUGAACCAGCCAAGUAGCGUGCAGGAUGACGGCCCUAUGGGUUGUAAACUGCUUUUAUGCGGGGAUAAAGUGGCCCACGUGUGGGUUUUUGCAGGUACCGCAUGAAUAAGGACCGGCUAAUUCCGUG
rnacentral:rRNA from 1 species